rnacentral:tRNA from 2 species
GGCUCAUUGGUCUAGUGGUAUGAUUGUUGCUUCGGGUACAGCCCAGUUUCGUAUGAAACUCAAUACACAUUGUGACAGGCCUCGGGUUCGAAUCCCGAAUGAGCCC